UACAGAGGUGGCAAGCGUUGUUCGGAAUUACUGGGCGUAAAGGGCGCGUAGGCGGCCUUCUAAGUCAGACGUGAAAUCCCCCGGCUUAACCUGGGAACUGCGUCUGAUACUGGGAGGCUUGAGUAUGGGAGAGGGAUGUAGAAUUCCAGGUGUAGCGGUGAAAUGCGUAGAUAUCUGGAGGAAUACCGGUGGCGAAGGCGGCAUCCUGGACCAUAACUGACGCUGAGGCGCGAAAGCGUGGGGAGCGAACAGG
rnacentral:rRNA from 1 species